ensembl:misc_RNA 7SK 7SK RNA
GAAUAUGAGAGUGAUCUUGCUGUAACAUCUGUCACUCUACUGAUAGGUUGAUUUGGCUGGCUAGGCAGGUGUUCUCUUUCUCUCUCAUUCCUUCCUGGGCAUCUGAGAUGCAAUUAUGGAAGCCAGACUUUCCACCUUCUGUACCCCAUAGAGACUUUGGUCCAUGCUCCCAGAGGGAUAAAGAAAAUGGAAGUUUCCAGUGGAGGGGAUGGAAGGAUGGUACACAAAAAUCUGGUGGUGGGAAUAUAUGGAAUUAUUUCCCUAUUACC